AGUAAAAGACUCCCCUUUGAGAACAAAGUACAUUAUAACCAGAAAGAACUCGCAACAGCACACAAGCUAACAUUCAUGUCAAAAAUGAUACUAUAUUGGAAUCACAUGAGUCAAAGUCGACAGUUGUAUACGUGAAUUGAACAGCAGAAAGAUAAGAUCACCACCAACCACCAACCACCAUCUGUAUCACUAUCAGCAUGGAUGCUGUCACAAGAAACUUUUUGAGUGCAUGAUUUUGGGCAAAGGAUAGUCAGCAACAACUGCUAGUAGAAGCAUCAGCUUGUGGUGGCUUCUGCUUAAAAAUGUUCCUUUCCACACCUGCUGAACCUUCAGCCAAGAGGCUCGGUGUAUCCAAGAUCUGCAUCAGUGAUGUAAAUAAUUAUUUGUCAUUUUUAACGGACAAGAAGUAGCAUAUUGUGAAAACAAGGGUACAAAAGAUGUAAGUUCAAACUCCGGUAAUUCCUGCUCGUAAUGUUUCCUUUUUCCUCAUUAAAUGGUCUGUGCUUCCUCUAAAACUCUAGAACAAUCUCAAAAGCAAGGAAGAGUAGAUCACAAGUAUUUUAUCCAAAACAUGGCCAAGGAAAGUGGGAAAGAGAGAGGAAAAAAAAAAGAGGAAAACCCAAUGGACGAAACCAACAAAAGAAGGUUCAAGCUAGAUGACAGGCAGUGCUGCCUAGAAAUUUCGCAUGGGUAUCUCAAGUUUCCCAAGACUUCAAGCUCGGGAAAGCAUAGAGACAAUAUACUAGAAAACUAGAAUAGGCUGAUUACUCAAUUGGAUUUUUAAAAAAAGUCUCACUUAAAUGUCAUUUUAUGGACCACAUAAUAAUGGGAAACCUUACAAUAAUAAUGCUAAAAAAUUGCAAGAAUUGUUGUACCAUCACAUGAUUGCAAGAAUUAAAGUACCAUCACACAUAAGAUUGUCCUCAGAAGAGGGUUGAAAAGCUAUGUUUUGGCUAAUGUGAGCAGGGUGCCUUUUUCUAGGGGGCAUGCCAAUGAUUAUCGUGGCAUUUUGCAUUGUGUCACAAGUGUCUCUGCUUAGCCAGCACUUUAAAAUUAUGAAAACAGAGCAUCCAGGUAACACAUAGUAAUCAAGCCUUGUACCCACAAUGUUCUCUGACUGAAGCUCUAAGACAAGUUAUGUUCUCAGUUUUUUCAGACCUUUUAGCCAACUCCAAAACUGAAACAUUUCAAUUUUUCCAAUCAACUAUUCAAAACUCAGAUUCCUUUUCAGAAAAUUAUUGGCCAAUUUAUGUCCUUUUAAUCCUAUGACAAUUUAUUUUAUCAAAAUUGUUAGGUUGCAAGAAAUUUAGGAGAAAGGUAGGCCUUUGCAUGGUAUGAUGUCUUGUGUAGUUUGAGACUUUUAAGGGGAAAGGGGCAGAGGGGUUUGUAUUAUAGAUUAAAUUGCUUAAAUAGUGGGUGUGCAAGAUUUGAGCUCGAAUUUCUCUUUUAUAAGGUAUCAAGCCCAAAAUCUUUCAUGUUUUAAAUUUGAUUCUCCAUCCAUCUCCUAUAAAUUUGUAGAUCAACCACCCGUGGGUGCAAGUUUUAUGGAUCUAUCAUGAACUUUUCAAUUUUAAGAACCUUAAUGAUUUUCAUAGAAAAUAUGGAUUAAAUGACUGUAUUAUUUUUCAUUUAAAAACUUAGCAUUGAAACAAGCAACACAUAUCAACAAGAGGACUAAAAAAAUUAUAACACUGAAUAUAGAAAUAAAAAAUUUAACAAAAUACAAAAAUAGAAAACUAAUAAUAAAACAUAAAUACACAAAACAAAAAAUAAAAUAAAUAUAUAAAUAAGAGAUGAGAUAAAAGUGAGAAAGAGAUUGAUGGAUGGAUGCGAUCAAAUCAUGCAUCGAUAUAUUUGGCAUUGCUCAUUUCUUUAUUUGCAUUCCUAAAUUGUUAAAUAUAAUCAUGUGUUUGAUUGACUUGAACCUUUUUAGGUCUCAAAGAAAAUUCAGGAGUAUAUGCAUGUAGAAAAAGGGGGUGUAUAUUUAUGAUGAUAGAAUGGGAAAUUGAUUGGAAUUAAGAAAAGUGUUUAAAUGACAAGACAACAUAUUAGUGCAGUUUGAUUGGAACUGAGGAAAGACAUCUAAACAAGGCAAGCUGACAUGUUAAUAAUGUCUUUUUAUUAUUCUAAUUUUAAAUGUCAGUCAGACAAGGCCAAAGACUUGAGAGGGAUUACACAUGUAUCUUUUUACCAUGUGUAUUUGGGAAAAAAUGAAAUCAGAUCUAGAUGGAAUGUUCAAAAAUUUAUUAAUUCCAUUCUUAUUUCACCAACAUUUAGGAUGGUGCAUGUUAAGUUGUC
rnacentral:lncRNA from 1 species